GAUCCUGGCUCAGGAUGAACGCUGGCGGCGUGCCUAAUACAUGCAAGUCGAACGCACUGAUUUUAUCAGUGAGUGGCGAACGGGUGAGUAAUACAUAAGUAACCUGCCCUCAUGAGGGGGAUAACUAUUAGAAAUGAUAGCUAAGACCGCAUAGGUGAAGGGGUCGCAUGACCGCUUCAUUAAAUAUCCGUAUGGAUAGCAGGAGGAUGGACUUAUGGCGCAUUAG
rnacentral:rRNA from 1 species